rnacentral:rRNA from 1 species
UACGUAGGGUGCAAGCGUUGUCCGGAAUUAUUGGGCGUAAAGAGCUCGUAGGCGGUUUGUCGCGUCUGCUGUGAAAUCUCAAGGCUCAACCUUGAGCUUGCAGUGGGUACGGGCAGACUAGAGUGUGGUAGGGGAGACUGGAAUUCCUGGUGUAGCGGUGAAAUGCGCAGAUAUCAGGAGGAACACCGAUGGCGAAAGCACUCUGCUGGGCCGACACUGACACUGAGAGACGAAAGCUAGGGGAGCGAAUGGG